rnacentral:rRNA from 1 species
AUGACCUCAUCGAAGGGGACGGGGCAGGGGCGUGGCUACAGUGAAGCCCACUCCCGGCCCUUACCAAGGGCAGGCAUGGCCACAGGUGUCGGAGUAACCGACCACGGGUACCCCGAGGACGGCAAGACGAUAUUUCAAGACAUCGGGGCUAGCAAGCCCCUCAGUCCGACUGUCCGGCCGCUCCUGCCGACUUCCCGUCCGACUGCUCUGCCCGGCCAACUGUCGGCUGCCGACUGCACCAACCAGCCGGCUACCAACUACACCAACCUGCCGGCUGCCGACUGCGCCAACCAGCCGGCUGCUGACUGCAGCCCGACCCGACACCGACAAGACCUCGACGAGACGGCCAUACCACGGACAAGACAACCAUACCGCGGCGCCAUCAUCUACAGUGUACCGUGUCCCCUGGGUACUGAUUUAUAA